GGAACCGCGUAGCUCAGUUGGCAGAGCAUUGGGCUAGUAUUCCAAAGGUCGUAGGUUCGAUUCCCACCGUGGCCA